rnacentral:lncRNA from 10 species
CACACACUUUAUCACACAGGCACACACACCACAUGCACACAUACAUACACCAUCACACCACACAUCAGAUACACAGACUGUCACACACAGUCACACACAUAGCACACACACAUGCACAUACACACCAUCACACACACCACACACAUCAAACACAGAUACACCAUCACACACAGGCACACACACUAUCACACACACACAUCACACACGCAUGCAUACACACACCAUCACACAUC